rnacentral:lncRNA from 1 species
CUCAGUGGUGAAGGCUGUGCGGACACUGGGGGCCCGCCAGGGGUUUGGCCCCUUACUCAACCCAACCACGGUCCUCUCCGGCGCAGGCCGAUUUGAGGACCUAGACUCCUUGAUGCUGACGGCCUGAGGGGGCUCCCGGGUGCCGGAUAUCUGACACAGGCCAGGGAGGCUCCCCUGGGAGACCUGGCAGGCCUGGAGGUGUGAGUCGGCUCUGAGCAGCUGCUCUGGGAGAGCCAGUCCACGGAGCCAAAGCUGGAGGGCAGCUGCCGGCCACAAGUUGGGGAGGAGGAGAGACGCAAGGCCGUCAGAUGCUUGUCCUGGAAACCAACCAUGAGCUGUGAUGAAAUCCAGGCAACUGAGUUGUGUUUCAGCCCAAAGCAGCAAAUGGAAUCCAGCUUCAGGACCAUCAUCUGACAUAGGGGAAGAAGACUUACAUAGAAGGCCUAACCAGCACCCAAGAUCAUGCUCAUAGGUGGAGGAGACUUGCUUUGUCUCAGAUGAGACUUUGGACUGUGGACUUUUGAGUUAAUGCUGAAAUGAGUUGAGACUUUGGGGAACUGUUGGGAAGGCAUGAUUGGUUUUAAAUAUGAAUAUAUGAGAUUUGGGAGGGGGUCAGGGGUGGAAUGAUAUGGUUUGGCUCUGUGUCCCCACCCAAAUCUCAUCUUGUAGCUCCCAUAAUCCUCCCAUGUUGUGGGAGGGACCCAGUGGGAGAUGAUUGAAUCAUGAGGGCGGGUCUUUCUCAUGCUGUUCAUGAUCCCAUUCAUGUGAGAAAGACCCAUGUGAUCAUGAAUGGGUCUCACAAGAUCUGAUGGUGUUAAAAAUGGGAGUUUCUCUGCACAAGCUCUCUGCCUGCUGCCAUUCACAAAGGAUGUGACUUGCUUCUCCUUGCCUUCUGCUAUGAUUGUGAGGCCUCCCUAGCCAUGUGGAACUGUGAGUCCAAUUAAACCUCUUUCUUUUGUAAAUUGA